AUACGUAGGAGACGAGCGUUAUCCGGAUUUACUGGGUGUAAAGCGCAUGUAGGCGGGUUCCCAAGUCGAGCAUGAAAUCUCCCGGCUUAACCGGGAGGAGCGGUUCGAUACUAGGAGCCUUGAGGGUAGGAGAGGGAAGCAGAAUUCCCGGUGUAGUGGUGGAAUACGUAGAUAUCGGGAGGAAUACCAGUGGCGAAGGCGGCUUCCUGGCCUGCUCCUGACGCUGAGAUGCGAAAGCGUGGGUAGC
rnacentral:rRNA from 1 species